ACAGAGCUUUCCAGAGUAUCUUCCGUCUUCUGCAUCUCUUCUUCGGUCUUCUGCAUCUCUUCAAUUUGCAGGUGCUUUUCUUACUCUUUAACAUCAAUUUUAUUGUUUUCUAUAUGUUCUAGAUUCUUUUUUUGUUUUAAAUUCACGAGAACAGAGUGAAUUACGGCCGGAUUUUCGAGUAUCCUCCUUAAUUUUAUUGGAUGGCUACAGAAACUCUUCAUCAUCACCAUCAAAUUUCCUGUUUAGUAAAAUCUCUCUUUGGUUCUGUUAUUUUCCAUUUUCGAUAAGUUUCGGCCACAUGCAAAAUGGUCUUCACUCUAUGAAAUUGUGAGCGAGAUUUUACUGCAAUUUUUCUCUGUUUCAUGCACUUUAUUUUGUUGUUUGUUGAUAAUCACAGUUUGUUGGGUAUUGUUGAUAUUUUCUGUUCAUGGUGGUAAAACCCCCCUUUUCUCUUUUAUUCUUCCAGAACAAUAUCAGUUCUCUUUAAUUUCUCUACGAUGGUUGUGAUGGUGGUAUGCUCUAAUUUAUAUAUCAAUUUUACACAAUUUUGGAUAUCGGUUUGUUUCCUGCUCUUUUGGUGGGUGUAUGUUAGACUUUUUCUUGGGUUGUUUAUUGUUCGAUUUUUUAUAGUCUGUAACGACCUGACUGGUUGUUUUGAGCUCCAGCGCGUCAUUCAGCAGUUUGAGGCCAUGAACAGUUUCAUCUCAGGUAUAUUGACUUGUGUGUAUGAUCAGAAUUAAAAUUCAGGAAGUUUGGGUCAAAUCUAAAUGGAAAUUCUCAUUUUCAAAGCUUAAAAUUAAAGAAAUGAACUAGGAUUGGAAUUUUGAGUAAACGACCUCGGAAUUGGGAUCCGAAGGUUCCAACAGGUUCGUAUGAUGAUUUUGGACUUGGGCGUAUGCCCGGAUCGGGUUUUGGAUAACACGGUAAUAUUUUGGCAACUAUUGUGAAAGAUAGCAUUUUAGAAGAAAUUGCAUCAGUUUGACUUAAAAUGCAUUUCAGUGUUAUUGAUGUCCAUUUGCGAUUCCGAGACUGGGAAUAGCUCCGUAUGGUGAUUCUGGAUUUGGAAGCACGAUCGAAAGUGAAUUUCGAGGUUCGUAGGUCAUUUUGGAGCCGUUUGGCUAAAGAUAGAAAUUUGAAGGUUUUUGAGAAAAUUCGACCGGAAGAGGAAAUUUUGAUAUCGGGGUCGGAAUGCGAUUCUGAAAGUUGGGGCAAGUUCUAAUGUCGAAUGCGACUUGUGUGCAAAAUUUGAAGUAAUUCCGAAAUAAUUUAGGUAAGAUUUGAGACACUUAGUCUAUUUUGAGGAUGGAAUGCGAUUUCUAAAGUUGGGGCAAGUCCGUAAUGUCGAAUAUGACUUGUGUGCAAAAUUUGAAGUAAUUCCGGAAUGAUUUUGGUAAGGUUUGAGACACUUAGUCUCUUUUAAGGAAGCUUAAGUUGGAAAAGUUAACCAGAUAUUGACUUAUGUGUUAGAGAGCUCGAAAAGCAAAUUCUAUUGUUUGCAUAGCUUCGUUAGGUGAUUUGGGACUUAGGAGAAUGUCCGGAAUAUUUUUGUGAUGGCCGGUGUAGAAUUUAGCUUGAAUUGGCAAAGUUAGUAUUUUGGCGAAUUCCGGUUGAUAGGUGAGAUUUUGAUCCGUGAGUCGGAAUGGAAUUCAGGAAACUUAAGUUGGAAAAAUCAACCGGAUAUUGACUUAUGUGUUAGAGCGCUCGAAAUGCAAAUUUUAUGGUUCAGAUAGCUUCGUUAGGUGGUUUGGGACUUAUGAGUGUGUCCGGAAUAUUUUUGUGAUGACCGGUGUAGAAUUAAGCUUGAAUUGACAAAGUUAGNNNNNNNNNNNNNNNNNNNNNNNNNNNNNNNNNNNNNNNNNNNNNNNNNNNNNNNNNNNNNNNNNNNNNNNNNNNNNNNNNNNNNNNNNNNNNNNNNNNNNNNNNNNNNNNNNNNNNNNNNNNNNNNNNNNNNNNNNAAGAUUUUGAUCCGAGGGUCGGAAUGGAAUUCCGAGAGUUGUUGUAGCUUCGUUAUGUCAUUUUGGACUUGUUUGCACAAUUUGAGGUCAUUCGAACUAGUUUUGACGUGUUUCAGCAUCGGAUGUGGAAUUUGGAAGUUCUUGAGAUUCUUAGGCUUGAAUCCGAUGAUGAUUUGAUGCUUUGAUAUUAUUUUGGCUGUUUUGAAGGUUGGAACAAGUUUGAAUAAUAUUGUGGGAUAUGUUGAUAUAAUUGGUUAAGGUCCCGAGGGUCUCGGAUGAAUUUCGGAAGAUUAACGGAAUGAAAUUCGAACCAAAAAGAAGAGAAAAAGUUGCAGAAAAUUCUGCUGCAAUUUUCUGCAGAAAUGUUUUGGACAGAAUCGUGGAGCCUAUGUUGGAGGCCUAUAUCUUUUUCGCUACAAGGAAUUUUGAGAUGAUUCAAAAACGAAAGUUGUAGCUCUUUGUGUCUAGUUGCCAGAAACAUAAAUAAAUCAUAAUUUGGACAUCAGUAAUUAAAGUUAUGAUGGAUCGAAAAGGGCUGCUCGAGCAAUUUCGGCAGAAUUUGCGAUGCACUUUAGAAGCUCAUAUCUCGGGAUAUAUAAAGAGUUAUAUGGUGUACAACCUAUCUAAUUAAAUAUCUUUGAGUCUAGUUUCUAAAUCUUCAAACCGUUUAUCAUUUGAAUAUUUAUACAAGACGUUAUGGGUAUUUAAAUAAAAGGUGUCCAACAAGGAAUAAUUUUAAUAGGAUGUACAACUUGUAUAGCACAAGUGUAAGGUACAAUUCGACGAAGCACGGGCAGAUUCUAUUAUACACGAAUUUGGUUCAUUUAUUUCAUUUGGUUUGGAUGGUUUUGGAGAGAAUUUCAAGGGGGAUUUCAUCAAGCAUCAAAGGUAAGUUAUUUCUAUUUAUUUCCAAGUUAAAUAUAUGGAUUUGAACAUGAAAAUUGUAGAAAAAUUGAGGAUUUAGGCUUAGGGGUUUGAAAAUAAGAUUUGGUGAUUUGAGAGGUCAAAUGAACUCCGAUUUUAAUAAAUUUUACAUGUACGAACUCAUGGCAAGACGCGAAAUCCGGUGAUGUGACUUUUGUAAUUUUUCGAGAAGUGGGAUCGGGGCUCGAGUUUUGCAAAUUUCGGGAAUUUCAAUAUUUUUCGAGUCUUUUCGGUUGGGUUAUGUUCCCUUAACCUAUUGUAAUGUAUUUGUUGUGGUUUAGGCCAGUUUCGACGCACGAGGAGGUCGAUACGAAAGGAAAGGGCAUCGCGGAGUAGUAUUUGACUGGUUAGAGGUGAGUAAUAGAUGUAAAUGCUGAUCUGAGGUUUUGAAAACCCCGGACUUUCACAUCGUAAUGCUAUAUUGAGGCGCGACACACACUCCAUGGCGAGUGGGGGUCGGAUACUAUUGGGAAUUGUGACUCGGUCCGCCCCGUGUGAUGUUUAUGCUAUACUGGUGAUUGAUACACAUACUUUAUUGAUAUUACUGGGCUUGAUGCCAUCUUUUGGGGCUUGAUGCCAUCUUUUGUGGCUUGUACCGACUUGCAAUAAUCUUUCGAGGAUUGACAUCACUACUUAGCAUGAUUUGCAUAUCAUCUAAUUUCAGUCCAAGGUUUUAAAUGUUGUUUUGCAAACUCAACCAUAAUUCUAAGUGAUGAAAAAUUAAAUGCCAUUUUAAAAUGUAUUUGGGGCUGGAAACUUCUAUUUUGUAAAUGCCAAGGGGCUUAUUAUAUUAUUUUCUAGACUGAUUAUAAAGUAUCUUGAAACAGUAUGACACUGUAUGAUAUACUUGAAAUAGUGGUAACAAUGACACUGUAUGAUAUACUUGAAACAGUGGUAACAAUGACACUGUGUGAUAUACUUGAAACAGUGGUAAUAAUAGCAUUGUAUGAUAUAAAUUGGUCAGGUAACAAUGACUGAUCGGUCAGGUAAAAAUUACUGACCAAGAUAUUGCGUUUGGGCUGUUGGAGCCCCUCCGGAGUCUGUACACACCCCAGUGAGUGUCGUCGAUGGUAAAUAAAUAUGGAUGGUUCGAGCUGUACACCACAGUGGGUAAUGGAAUGUACCAUCAUAUGCAUUGCAUUGCAUUCAUGUAUUUGUAUCUAUACUAUUAUUUAGCUGCUCAGUUCCAUAUGUUGCAGUAUAUUGGAUUUUAGCUUACCUUGUGUAUUUACUGUGGUUACUUAUCUUCGGACUGUAUUGUAUUUUAUUACUCACUGGGUUAGAAUACUCACUUUGCUCCCUGCACCUAGUGUGCAGAUCCAGGGCAGUCUCAGGCACAAUAGAUCCAGUUGAUCAGCGAAUCCAGCAUUUCGGGAGUAUCAAGGUAGAUGCACAGCGUUCGCAGCAUUGAUUUCUUCCCUCCUAUCCUAUCCUUUUUAUUUUCGCAUUUUUAGACUUUGGAUACACUAUGUAUCAGGGUGAUAUUCUGUAUUCUAAAGGCUCAUAUUCGUGACACC
rnacentral:lncRNA from 1 species